rnacentral:pre_miRNA from 1 species
CAUCUACUCCCUCCGUUCGGAAUUACUUGUCUCGGAAAUGGAUGUAUCUACAACUAAAAUACAUCUAGAUACAUCCAUUUCUGCGACAAGUAAUUCCGAACAGAGGGAGUACUUU